rnacentral:rRNA from 1 species
UUAUGGCUCAGGAUGAACGCUAGCGGGAGGCCUAACACAUGCAAGCCGAGCGGUAGAGAUUCUUCGGAAUCUUGAGAGCGGCGUACGGGUGCGGAACACGUGUGCAACCUGCCUUUAUCAGGGAGAUAGCCUUUCGAAAGGAAGAUUAAUACCCCAUAAUAUAUUAAGUGGCAUCACUUGAUAUUGAAAACUACGGUGGAUAGAGAUGGGCACGCGCAAGAUUAGAUAGUUGGUGAGGUAACGGCUCACCAAGUCUACGAUCUUUAGGGGGCCUGAGAGGGUGAUCCCCCACACUGGUACUGAGACACGGACCAGACUCCUACGGGAGGCAGCAGUGAGGAAUAUUGGACAAUGGGUGAAAGCCUGAUCCAGCCAUCCCGCGUGAAGGACGACGGCCCUAUGGGUUGUAAACUUCUUUUGUAUAGGGAUAAACCUAGAUACGUGUAUCUAGCUGAAGGUACUAUACGAAUAAGCACCGGCUAACUCCGUGCCAGCAGCCGCGGUAAUACGGAGGGUGCAAGCGUUAUCCGGAUUUAUUGGGUUUAAAGGGUCCGUAGGCGGAUCUGUAAGUCAGUGGUGAAAUCUCACAGCUUAACUGUGAAACUGCCAUUGAUACUGCAGGUCUUGAGUGUUGUUGAAGUAGCUGGAAUAAGUAGUGUAGCGGUGAAAUGCAUAGAUAUUACUUAGAACACCAAUUGCGAAGGCAGGUUACUAAGCAA